GACGAACGCUGGCGGCGUGCUUAACACAUGCAAGUCGAACGGUGAAGCGCCUUCCUUUUUGGUGGGUGUGGAUGAGUGGCGAACGGGUGAGUAACACGUGAGUAACCUGCCCCCUUCUUCUGGAUAACCGCAUGAAAGUGUGGCUAAUACGGGAUAUUCUGGGUCUGUCGCAUGACGGGUCUGGGAAAGAUAUUGUUUCGGUGGGGGAUGGGCUCGCGGCCUAUCAGCUUGUUGGUGGGGUGAUGGCCUACCAAGGCGGUGACGGGUAGCCGGCCUGAGAGGGUGGACGGUCACACUGGGACUGAGACACGGCCCAGACUCCUACGGGAGGCAGCAGUGGGGAAUAUUGCACAAUGGGCGCAAGCGUGAUGCAGCGACGCCGCGUGAGGGAUGGAGGCCUUCGGGUUGUGAACCUCUUUCGCCAGUGAAGCAGGCCUGCCUCGUUUGUGGGUGGGUUGACGGUAGCUGGAGAAGAAGCGCCGGCUAACUACGUG
rnacentral:rRNA from 1 species